UUCUGAUUCAAAAAACAGUUUAUAUCUUUACAAAACACAUUGUCUGCAUCUAAAUAUACUAUGCAUUUUAUCUAUUGGUCAUCGUAAUAAUCCCGCCCAAAUAGGCGGUCCAAACCACAACUUUAAUCUCAAUCUCCUCCUUCAUAAUACGGAAUUGUGUUCAGAAACUUGAAUUAUAUGAAAUAAAUGUGUGUGGUGCGUGCAUAUUAUAAACUAUAUAGUGUAAGGAGCUUUCGUUGUUGUUAUUUUAAUGGUUAUUUCAGACCAACCGUCAAAAAUCGUCCCGCGUCAGUGCAAAAAAGGGUGGACUGAUAAAAUAUCAAUAAAGUGCCACAAUCGGUCGAUUUCAACACUAAAACGUAAUUAUAUCAAUUUAUCAUAGUUUAUUUGUUGUACUUUCUAAAACAUUUGGCUUGCAAAAUGAUAACGUGUGAUAUUAUCAUAUUUUCAAAAUACCGCUACGGUUACUAGAUGCAUCCAAAAGUCGUUAUAAUGGGCGGGACCAAAUUAACAUAAAUAAACUUCCUGUAGUACCUCGAACGUGAUGAAAAAUGUUUACAGUAGAAUACAUAGUUUGCAUCUGUCGUUUCAUGGACAUUUACACCAAAAGAUAUAAAAGAUAUUUUGUGUUCUAAUAGUACUUCUCUCUGAAGACAAUAGUUGGUUAUGGCUGUGGAUAAUAAUCAGGAUACCAAAUUUAAAGAAAGGAGAUAUAUUUCUUUGUGGUGAAAGUGCAAGAAAUAACACCAUAUUCUGACUUACAAAAUGAUCACUCAUACUGCAUGCAAUACAGGGAAAGGCAUCAAACCAAGCCUCUAGAAGACAUACAUUUGUAGAAUGUAUUUUCUAUGAUGUACACGUCGCAGAGGAUACUUUAUGUUCCAAAAAUUCAAAUACAAAUUGUGUCAGCUCCUGUGACAAACUUAAGAUGGAAGUUAACCAGAGUAUGAAAUCACCAUUAUCAAUAUGUAAAAUCCAACCAGUGACUAUAUAUUUAUUCAAAUAGUGUCAUGAAUGGAAUUAAAAAAGGACUUGGAAAAUUAACAUGUUUUAAUAUUGCUUUGUGUGUUAAUAAAAUUUGUCAGCAAGAACAAA